GACGAACGCUGGCGGCGUGCUUAACACAUGCAAGUCGAACGGAAAGGCCCUGCUUUUGUGGGGUGCUCGAGUGGCGAACGGGUGAGUAACACGUGAGUAACCUGCCCUUGACUUUGGGAUAACUUCAGGAAACUGGGGCUAAUACCGGAUAGGAGCUCCUGCUGCAUGGUGGGGGUUGGAAAGUUUCGGCGGUUGGGGAUGGACUCGCGGCUUAUCAGCUUGUUGGUGGGGUAGUGGCUUACCAAGGCUUUGACGGGUAGCCGGCCUGAGAGGGUGACCGGCCACGUUGGGACUGAGAUACGACCCAGACUCCUACGGGAGGCAGCAGUGGGGAAUAUUGCACAAUGGGCGGAAGCCUGAUGCAGCAACGCCGCGUGCGGGAUAACGGCCUGCGGGUUGUAAACCGCUUUCGCCUGUGACGAAGCGUGAGUGACGGUAAUGGGUAAAGAAGCACCGGCUAACUACGUG
rnacentral:rRNA from 1 species